rnacentral:rRNA from 1 species
UGGGGAAUCUUGGACAAUGGGGGCAACCCUGAUCCAGCCAUGCCGCGUGAGUGAUGAAGGCCUUAGGGUCGUAAAGCUCUUUCGCCUGUGAAGAUAAUGACGGUAGCAGGUAAAGAAACCCCGGCUAACUCCGUGCCAGCAGCCGCGGUAAUACGGAGGGGACUAGCGUUGUUCGGAAUUACUGGGCGUAAAGAGUUCGUAGGCGGACUAGCAAGUUAGAGGUGAAAUCCCAGGGCUCAACCUUGGAACUGCCUUUAAAACUGCUAGUCUAGAGACCGGAAGAGGUUAGGGGAAUACCUAGUGUAGAGGUGAAAUUCGUAGAUAUUAGGUGGAACACCAGUGGCGAAGGCGCCUAACUGGUCCGGUACUGACGCUGAGGAACGAAAGCGUGGGGAGC